rnacentral:rRNA from 1 species
AACGAACGCUGGCGGCGUGCCUAACACAUGCAAGUCGUGCGAGAAAGUCACUUCGGUGGCAAGUAGAGCGGCGCACGGGUGAGUAACACGUGGGUAACCUGCCCUCGAGUCUGGGAUAACCCGGGGAAACCCGGGCUAAUACCGGAUACGGCCGUGAGGGCUUCGGAUCUCGGGGAGAAAGGCGGCGCUCCUUCGGGAGCUUUCGGUCGAGGCUGGGCCUGCGUCCCAUUAGCUAGUUGGUGAGGUAACGGCCCACCAAGGCAAAGAUGGGUAGCUGGGCUGAGAGGAUGGCCAGCCACACUGGAACUGAGACACGGUCCAGACUCCUACGGGAGGCAGCAGUGGGGAAUUUUGGGCAAUGGGCGAAAGCCUGACCCAGCAACGCCGCGUGUGGGAUGAAGGCCCUCGGGUCGUAAACCACUGUCAGGAGGAAAGAACGGCCGGCCGGAUAAUACUCGGUCGGUUUGACGGUACCUCCAAAGGAAGCGCCGGCUAACUCCGUGCCAGCAGCCGCCGUAAUAC